GCCUGAGUGGCUCAGUUGGUUGAGUAUCUGACUCUUGAUUUCAGCUCAGGUCAUGAUUUUGGGGUCAUAGGAUAGAGUCCUAUCUUGGGCU
rnacentral:tRNA from 1 species